rnacentral:rRNA from 1 species
GACGAACGCUGGCGGCGCGCUUAACACAUGCCAGUCGAACGGAAAGGCCUGCUUUCCCUUGUGGAUUGCGGGUACUCGAGUGGCGAACGGGUGAGUAACACGUGAGUGAUCUGCCCCCAACUUGGGUAUAAGCCUGGGAAACUGGGUCUAAUUCCCGAUAGGACUGCAGGGUGGUGCCUGUGGUGGAAAACGAUUUUCUAGUGGUUGGGGAUGAGCUCGCGGCCUAUCAGCUUGUUGGUGGGGUAAUGGCCUACCGAGGCGGCGACGGGUAGCCGGCCUGAGAGGGUGGACGGCCACAUUGGGACUGAGAUACGGCCCAGACUCCUACGGGAGGCAGCAGUGGGGAAUAUUGCACAAUGGGCGGAAGCCUGAUGCAGCGACGCCGCGUGGGGGAUGACGGCCUUCGGGUUGUAAACUCCUUUCGACCGCGAGGAAGCCACCUGGUUGGAAGGGUGGUGACGGUAGUGGUAGAAGAAGCACCGGCUAACUACGUG